rnacentral:tRNA from 1 species
GGGCCAGUAGCUCAGGUGGUUAGAGCGCACGCCUGAUAAGCGUGAGGUCGGAGGCUCAAGUCCUCCUCGACCCACCA